CUGGUUUUUCUGCUUGAAGGUCCUGGGGUCCCCUCCAGUCUUGACCACACACUUUGGGUACCAACACACUUUGGGUACCACACUCAGUCUCACAGACCUUUCAACUAUUCCCUCUUCUCUGCCAUGUAAAAUUUAAUUCCUUAGAGCUGAAUGAUCAGGACAUUCACGGUAGAGUCGGCUUCCCGAAAUUUCUAGAUAUGGCUUCCUGUGGG
rnacentral:lncRNA from 1 species